ACAUCUAAGAAGGGUUGAUGCUGUUCAAUGGCCAGACGAAAAGCAAGGAACUUGAAGGAUUCAAAUCCAGGAGGAGCCACUCCAGCACUGCUGUAGUUACUCCACAUGCAGAUAUUGGGCUAAAGAAGCAGGCCCCAUCAGUAGUCAGUAAACAACUACUGACUGUGUCUUCUUCUGUUUGUAUCUCUGUGAGAGAAUGAAGAAACAAAGAUUCUAGUAGCCGCAUACAUUAUGGACCUGUUCCAAAGCUCACUGAAGUCAAUGAGAAUCUUUCAGCUUACUUGUAUACAAAGGUACGCAUGAUCUUAUCAUGAGGCAACAGAAACCAAUGGUUCCUCUAGACCAGAAUUAAAGAAAAUUUGGAUGGGCGUCUCUAAAGAAAAUCCAGUUGUAACUGGCACUGUUCUAUUUGGGUCAGCAAUGAAAUAAUAUCCCAGCAUGGUUAAAAGAAGGUACUGAGCUGCUGUUUCAGGUGAGAGGUGAUCAUUAUAGUUCCAUAGAGCUUUCCACACUGUUAGAUUUUAACCCUAGAAUACUGAGUUGUUAUUUUCUACCUACCUAAAAUUUCUCUGAAUUUUCAGUUAGCCUUUUCUAAUUUUCCCUCCUAAAAAUCUGUUGUGUGAUGUUACAGAACAGCUGUUGUAUUCUACCUUAUCAGUAGAUGAGUGUUCACUACAUAUCCAUGCCUCCUCACUUAAUGGGUUCUCUGUGGUAAGCCUUAGGAGGAGGAGAAGGGGACUGGCCAUACUGUAUUACCAUUCUGUGUUGUCCUGUAGGAUUUCCUAAUGGAUAUCCAGCAGAAUUUUUGUACUGUUGGAAGAUGUAUUAGUUCCCGUGGGGCCCUCUCUAUGGCUACUUAUGAGCAGUCACCAUUGGGAUACAAAGCCAAUAAUAGCAGAACUCUUGAGGGACCAGAGAAAUGGCAAGGAUACUCCAGUCUCUUCUGAAGGGAGGGGCAAUUCCUCAGGAAAUCCCAGGAGCCAUGGGGUUAGGACAACUCCCACACUUAAUCCCAAAAAUCUUGCUUGUUUUAUGACCCACUAGAAUGUUGCCACUCUCCAAAGAUCACAUUCUGUUAACCAGUUCCCAGAAUUUGGGUUGAUGCUUCUUUGAAAAGGUUUGUUUUAGGCAAAAAUUGUCAAAGUACAAAAUUCUGAAGGUCUUUGUCUACUGCUUUCCUUUGCAGGAGAAUAUGGAACCAGUCGCUGAUGUAUACAUUUUAUGUAUGUGAGUAGAGGGGAUAAAAGCACAAAGUUGAAUUGAAAUUUGGAAAAGUAGCAAUAAUCUUUCUUUUUUUUGUUUUUUGUUUUACACUUCAGUGUCCAGCAUUCCAGAAGGUGAAGGUGCCCAAUGCACUCAUAGCAGAAAGUAAUAGUCGUCCUUUGAUGGAAUCAUAAUUGUUUUAGUCUCCUCAGAUUUAAUGUAGUGGGAUCUGUUUGAUUUAACUAUUUUAAAGCUGAUUGGACUACAUGACCUUCUGAGGUCCCUUCCAACCCUGAUAUUCUAGUCUAGUCUAGUCUAAGUGACCCCAAAACUUUGCAUUCAGAGAUGUUAUAUGGU